GAUGAACGCUGGCGGCGUGCCUAAUACAUGCAAGUCGAGCGAACGGACGAGAAGCUUGCUUCUCUGAUGUUAGCGGCGGACGGGAGAGUAACACGUGGAUAACCUACCUAUAAGACUGGGAUAACUUCGGGAAACCGGAUCUAAUACCGGAUAAUAUUUUGAACCGCAUGGUUCAAAAGUGAAAGACGGUCUUGCGGUCACUUAUAGAUGGCCCCGCACUCCAUUAGCUAGUUGGUAAGGUAACGGCUUACCAAGGCAACGAUGCAUAGCCGACCUCAGAGGGUGAACGGACACACUGGAACUGAGACACAGUCCACACUCCUGCGGUAAGACGCAGUCGAGAAUCUUCCGCAAUGCGCGAAAGCGUGACGGAGCAAAGUCGCGUAAGUCCUGAAGGACUAAGGAUCCUAAAACUCUGUUAUUAGGGAAGAACAUAUGUGUAAGUAACCGUGCACAUCUUGACGGUACCUAAUCAGAAAGCUACGGCUAACUACGUG
rnacentral:rRNA from 1 species